UGUGUGUUUUUAAGGACUGAUUUGGGCCGCAUCCCCCGGAAACUAAAGUGGGGCGUUUUACCGUUUAAAUAACGGCUACAGAUGUGCCCUACCCUUUGCACCUCCGGACCAGCGCUUUUUUUGGAAUACUAUCUAGCCUUGAGACUGUUUAGCAGAAAGUGGCCAUUUUCCUCCCUUGGCCCGGGCUCCCGGUUUCCUCCCUGAGGCUUGUUUAAAAGCGAAGUAGCAGGGCCCCGUGGGACGCGCCUUGGUCUGGGUAAUCACCCCCACGCCCGGGUCAUCCACCUUCCUCUCGGUGACCGAGGUUCAGCAGCCUCUGCUAUUGCCGGCCGUCUUUGCCGAUGGCCUGCCUCCCUAAUGACUUGUUUACAUAUCCUACCCCCAGUGGGUAAGGAGAAGCUCCGGGGCUGCCCCGACCCUCCGAGUGCAGGGUGUUUGGGGA
rnacentral:sRNA from 1 species